rnacentral:rRNA from 1 species
AUUGAACGCUGGCGGCAUGCCUUACACAUGCAAGUCGAACGGUAACAGGUCUUCGGAUGCUGACGAGUGGCGAACGGGUGAGUAAUACAUCGGAACGUGCCUAGUAGUGGGGGAUAACUACUCGAAAGAGUGGCUAAUACCGCAUGAGAUCUACGGAUGAAAGCAGGGGAGCGCAAGACCUUGUGCUACUAGAGCGGCCGAUGGCAGAUUAGGUAUUUAGUGGGAUAAAAGCUUCCCAAGCCGACGAUCUGUAGCUGGUCUGAGAGGACGAUCAGCCACACUGGGACUGAGACACGGCCCAGACUCCUACGGGAGGCAGCAGUGUGGAAUUUUGGACAAUGGGCGCAAGCCUGAUCCAGCAAUGCCGCGUGCAGGAUGAAGGCCUUCGGGUUGUAGACUGCUUUUGUACGGAACGAAAAGCCCUGGGUUAAUACCCUGGGGUCAUGACGGUACCGUAAGAAUAAGCACCGGCUAACUACGUGCCAGCAGCCGCCGUAAAAC